rnacentral:rRNA from 1 species
UAGGGAAUCUUCCGCAAUGGGCGAAAGCCUGACGGAGCAACGCCGCGUGAGUGAUGAAGGUCUUCGGAUCGUAAAACUCUGUUAUUAGGGAAGAACAAAUGUGUAAGUAACUAUGCACGUCUUGACGGUACCUAAUCAGAAAGCCACGGCUAACUACGUGCCAGCAGCCGCGGUAAUACGUAGGUGGCAAGCGUUAUCCGGAAUUAUUGGGCGUAAAGCACGCGUAGGCGGUUUUUUAAGUCUGAUGUGAAAGCCCACGGCUCAACCGUGGAGGGUCAUUGGAAACUGGAAAACUUGAGUGCAGAAGAGGAAAGUGGAAUUCCAUGUGUAGCGGUGAAAUGCGCAGAGAUAUGGAGGAACACCAGUGGCGAAGGCGACUUUCUGGUCUGUAACUGACGCUGAUGUGCGAAAGCGUGGGGAUCAAACAGG